GUAAUAUCAAAACCAACUCUAGAGAUUUAUAUGUAUGUGAUAAAAUAUCCAUGCUUAGUAGUAAAGUCUAUUUAGUGGGUAAUAGGCAAAGAAACUCAUUAAGGAGAGGAAAGCUCAGACCAUAUAUCUAUUUCAUUGUUAAAUAAUCAAUUCAUAAUUGGCUUGAACUCAAAAUUUAAGAAAAGGAGAUUCUAUAUUUGUUGGCUAAAAGUGAACAUGGUUUAUAGGGUUUCUUUGACAUGACCCAUAAACAUACAUUCUCUUUGAAGUUAGAAUUUUUCUAUCUUUAUACCCAUAUUGUUAGUUAAC
rnacentral:misc_RNA from 1 species